GAGGGUGUAGCUCAACGGCAGAGAGUUCGUUUUGCAUACGAAAUGUUCCGUGUACAAUCCCCGGCACCUCCA